UAAUCAGCUCAGGAUGUGAUCAACAGAGCAAGUGGCCAAAAUUAGUUUCUUCAGCAGGGCUCUCCCUGAGAGAUAAGGUGAGAAGCUCGGUCAUCCGGGAGGGGCUCAGAGUCGAGCCGCUUCUCCUCCACAUCGAGAGGAGCCAGAUGAGGUGGCUUGGGCAUCUGAUUCGGAUGCCUCCUGAACGCCUCCCUGGUGAGGUGUUCCGGGCAUGUCC